GGGCCCGCACAAGCGGUGGAGCAUGUGGUUUAAUUCGACGCAACGCGAAGAACCUUACCUGGGCUUGAACUGCAGUGGACCGGUUUAGAGAUAAGCCUUUUCGCAAGAACUGCUGCAGAGGUGCUGCAUGGCUGUCGUCAGCUCGUGUCGUGAGAUGUUGGGUUAAGUCCCGCAACGAGCGCAACCCUUACCUAUAGUUGCCAGCGAGUCAAGUCGGGAACUCUAUAGGGACUGCCCGGGUUAACCGGGAGGAAGGUGGGGAUGAUGUCAAGUCCUCAUGGCCCUUAUGUCCAGGGCUACACACGUGCUACAAUGGUCGAUACAAACUGUUGCGAAGUCGUGAGAUGGAGCUAAUCGGAGAAAGUCGACCUCAGUUCGGAUUGUAGUCUGCAACUCGACUACAUGAAGGUGGAAUCGCUAGUAAUCGUGUAUCAGAAUGAUACGGUGAAUACGUUCCCGGGCCUU
rnacentral:rRNA from 1 species